rnacentral:rRNA from 1 species
CCUACGGGAGGCAGCAGUGGGGAAUAUUGGACAAUGGGCGAAAGCCUGAUCCAGCAAUGCCGCGUGAGUGAUGAAGGCCUUAGGGUUGUAAAGCUCUUUUACCAGGGAUGAUAAUGACAGUACCUGGAGAAUAAGCUCCGGCUAACUCCGUGCCAGCAGCCGCGGUAAUACGGAGGGAGCUAGCGUUGUUCGGAAUUACUGGGCGUAAAGCGUGCGUAGGCGGUGAUUCAAGUCAGAGGUGAAAGCCUGGAGCUCAACUCCAGAACGGCCUUUGAAACUAGAUCGCUAGAAUUAUGGAGAGGUAAGUGGAAUUCCGAGUGUAGAGGUGAAAUUCGUAGAUAUUCGGAAGAACACCAGUGGCGAAGGCGACUUACUGGACAUAUAUUGACGCUGAGGUACGAAAGCGUGGGGAGCAAACAGGAUUAGAUACCCUGGUAGUCCACGCCGUAAACGAUGAUAACUAGCUGUUCGGGCUCUCAGAGCUUGAGUGGCGCAGCUAACGCAUUAAGUUAUCCGCCUGGGGAGUACGGUCGCAAGNUUAAAACUCAAAGGAAUUGACGG